UACGUAGGGUGCGAGCGUUGUCCGGAAUUACUGGGCGUAAAGAGCUCGUAGGUGGUUUGUCGCGUUGUUCGUGAAAUCUCACGGCUUAACUGUGAGCGUGCGGGCGAUACGGGCAGACUAGAGUACUGCAGGGGAGACUGGAAUUCCUGGUGUAGCGGUGGAAUGCGCAGAUAUCAGGAGGAACACCGGUGGCGAAGGCGGGUCUCUGGGCAGUAACUGACGCUGAGGAGCGGAAGCGUGGGGAGCGAACAGG
rnacentral:rRNA from 1 species